rnacentral:rRNA from 1 species
GACGAACGCUGGCGGCGUGCUUAACACAUGCAAGUCGAACGGAAAGGCCCUGCUUUUGUGGGGUGCUCGAGUGGCGAACGGGUGGGUAACACGUGAGUAACCUGCCCUUGACUUUGGGAUAACUUCAGGAAACUGGGGCUAAUACCGGAUAGGAGCUCCUGCUGCAUGGUGGGGGUUGGAAAGUUUCGGCGGUUGGGGAUGGACUCGCGGCUUAUCGGCUUGUUGGUGGGGUAGUGGCUUACCAAGGCUUUGACGGGUAGCCGGCCUGAGAGGGUGACCGGCGCCAUGGGGCUGAAGAGACGCCCAAGACGCGAAGGGGAGGCAGGGGGGGGAAUAAUGAAAGAGGGGGGGGGCGCGGGUGCCGCAAGCCCCGGGUGGGGAAGACGGCCUUGGGGGGGAAACCCCGUUUUCGCAGGAGAGGAGGGGAGGGUGACGGUAAGGGAUAAGAAAGCCAGGGCUAACUACGUG